ensembl:lncRNA
AAUCUAGGCCCUUAAAUCUAUUUUUCACCUCCACUGUAUAAUCAUAAGGGAUUUGAUUUAGGUCAUACCUGAAUGAUCUAGUGGUUUUCCCUACUUUCUUAAUUUAAGUCUGAAUUUGGCAAUAAGGAGUUCAUGAUCUGAGCCACAGUCAGCUCCUGGUCUUGUUUUUGCUGACUGUAUAGAGCUUCUCCAUCUUUGGCUGCAAAGAAUAUAAUCAAUCUGAUUUCAGCACAGAGCUACCCAAAAAACAUUGGUUCCUUCCACUCAUAACUUUUCCUUUUCUUUGUAGUCUUUGUGUGAAGAAGAGUGACCAUGAAUUAGAAUCAGAGGGAGAUGCCAUUCCUCAAUUCUGUGGGUGUUUGGCUAAGGUGAAAGCAUUUGAUUGAAAGUAGUUAGAGCCUGGCGGGCUGCAGUCCAUGGGGUCGCAAAAGAGUCAGACAUGACUUAGCAGCUGAACAACAACUGUUCAAAUGGAGGAGAGACCCUCACAGGAUAAAGGCACACUAUUCCAAGAGAGAUGCAAUGGGCCCAGCAGAAAUGGCAAUUAAUCAUCAAAAUCUUGCUCUGCCACUUCUAGUGAGUCCAGACUGCUGGGGAUGAGGGUAGGAAAAAGUGCAGAAGUGUCCCCAGAAGCACACCAUGAAUGUACUUAAUGCCACUAAACUGGAUGCAAAAAAUAGUCAUGAUGAUCAAUUUCAUGUUAUGUGUAUUUUAUCACAACUUUUUUUUAAAAAAGCAUCACUAGUGAUUUCCUGAGGAUUUUAUUCCAGAUUGGAAAAAAAUAAAUGCAAUUAAUGCAUUAAACUAAGAAAGACGUCCAUCUGGGAUUUAUUUGUUAAUAACAACCAAGGCAUCCUUAACUAAGCUGAACUCAGCAAAGAGAAAAAAGCGCUGUGAAAUUUGAAAGGCCAAUGAGAGAAGGAAGAGUUGUUAAAUUCCAAAGAUUCCAAACCACCUUUCAGAUCCCCUUGAUUUAGGAUCUGAGGCACACACAACCCUGCAUGUUGGAUUUUCCUGGACCAGGGAUUGAAUCCACAGCUCCUGCAUCAGCAGACGGAUUCUUCACCACUGAGCCACCAGGGAAGCCCCACUCUUGUUGUCCAGCCACUCAGUCAUGUCUGACUCUGCAACCCCAUGGACUGCAGCACCCCAGGCUUCCUUGUCCUUCAGUAUCUCCUGGACUUUGCUCAAACUCAUGUCCAUUGAAAUCAGUGAUGCCAUCCAAACAUCUCAUUCUCUGUUGCCCCCUUCUCCACUUGCUCUCAAUCUUUCCCAGCAUCAGGGUCUUUUCCAAUGAGUCAGCUCUUUGCAUUAAGUGGCCAAAGUAUUAGAGCUUCAGCACUGGUUCUUCCAAUGAAUAUUCAGGGUCAAUUGCCUUUAGGAUUGACCGCUUUUAAAUAAAAG